rnacentral:rRNA from 1 species
UGCCAGCCGCCGCGGUAAUACGGAGGGGGCGAGCGUUAUUCGGGAUUACUGGGCGUAAAGGGUACGUAGGCGGCUUAGCAAGUCAGAUGUGAAAUCCCCCGGCUCAACCGGGGAACUGCCAUUGAUACUGCUGAGCUAGAGUGAGGGAGGGGCAGACGGAAUUCCAGGCGGAGCGGUGAAAUGCGUAGAUAUCUGGAGGAACGCCAGAGGCGAAAGCGGUCUGCUGGCCCUAUACUGACGCUGAGGUGCGCAAGCUAGGGGAGCGAACGGGAAUAGAUA